rnacentral:lncRNA from 1 species
UGGAGAUAAAGUAAAAUCCUUUCUAGUUAAUUGAUUUUUCAUUUGCUUUACUGCAUUAAGUGGAAUUGUGUUAGCAAUGAACUUAACUCAGACUGGGUUUUAUUCCUUUGAUCUAUUGCUUCAUGAAAUCUAUCUCUUCCUUUCUUUUCAUGUAUGGUAAAUGCUUACCAUUCUGCUUUUUAUCCUCUGACCUAAGCUAAUUAGUUUCCUUCACCGUCAUAACACUAUGAUAACUCUUAUUUCUACCACUCCUCUUUAGAAUGAUACAAGUAUAAUGAAGAGUCCUGUGAAUUACAUUUUAACUGUAUAACCACAGAAAAUGUGAAACUUUUUGAGAAGCGAGUCAAACAUAUUAUGCAUGCGAUGUAACAGAUCUCAUCUGUUUCUCAUCUUAAAGCUCCUUAGAUCUUCUUAGGGACAACAUCUUCAACCUAUAAAAUGAUAUUUUGAGGAGAGCAGACAUUUCAGUGAGUCUAAAUUUAAAUUUAGAGGAUUAUCUCCAAGGUUGAUCUAUUGGAAUUACUUAUCUGGACCGAAGUAAUUCAAGUAAUUCAGGUGUAGUGAAACACUUCUAAUUUUAAAUUCAGAAGCAUUAAGGAGUGAGUUGGAUUAUUGGCUAUAGCACUUAGUUGAUCCUCUUUCUUAUCAUCCUUGACUUUUAAAGCCUGGCCUUUUUUUAAAUGUUCUUCAGAAAUCCAUGUGCUCACAGCAUUUGAUUCAUUAAUUUUGAAAGACUAUUAUAAAGGCCUUUUAAGUGAUAAGUUCAGAGAUACCUAAAAACCCAAGUGUGAACAUACACAAUUAAAAGAAAGAACUCUGUAAAAAUGUCAUAAUGAAUCAGAAGUUCCAAAGUGAAUCUUGGGUGAAAGGAGACUGAUCAUAUUUUACAGGCAAGUCAUUUUUUUUUUCAAAGUCUGAAUCUUCACUAAAUGGAUCCUUGGCAUUGAAGUUCAUUGGUGGGAGACUGUCUGCAUACACAGAGUUUAUGAAGCUAUAUUGCUCAAAUUAUGAUCUGCAGAUCACCUCCGGCAAAAUCUCUGGAUUCUAGAACCU